AGGUCCCAAGAUCUACAGCUGGCAAGCUGGAGACCCAGGAGAACUGGUGGUAUGGUUCCAGUCCAAGUCUAAAGGCCUGGGAACGAGGAGAGCCAAUGGUGUAUAUGAUGACCUCCUCGUAAAAGAACAUCUAUGCUGGCAUCCAUCAUCGAUGACAGCCGAAAGACCUACAGUGGCACCUCCAGCUGCGUAUGCCAGAUGGUCAACCUUCCUGAGCCCCUCCUCCAUAGCCCACUAGUCCCUGUAUAUCUGCCUCAAGAUUAUGUGGUUGUUUAAGAUUGUCUUUGGGACAUGAGUCCACCAUCUUCCAAUUUUCCUGGCUAAUUGAAUAAAUCCCUUUCUCAACCACCGACUCGUCUUGCAAUUGAUUGGCUUCAAGGUUGUGAUCACAAAACUGGGUGGCAGAGAUGUUGUCCAAGCUAUGAAGUGGAAGCACUGGUUUGUGAACACAGGCAAUCUGGCUCCAGAACCCAAGUGCCUAAAGGAAUAUUACCUAUGGGUAAUAGAAUUUCAAUUUUUCUGGAGUGUGAACGUGUAGUAAUAUAUAUAGCACAUUACAAAACUGGCUUUAGCCAGUUUCAGGAACUUGGAGAAAUGUUUAGUCAUUCCAAAAUGAGAUUCAAGAAGGUGCAGUUACUAGAAUGAUCAGCAGAGGGAGAACGGAGGCAGCGUUUGUAACGCACUG